rnacentral:lncRNA from 1 species
CUCCCCCUGCGAUGGGCUGGCACUGCACUCACACACCCAGCCUGACCCGCCACUCCCUGCGAUGGGCUGGCACUGCACUCACACACCCUCUGCUAGGUGCAUGGCUGUGUCUCCAUCUCUCACCCUUUGCUCCCACGAAGGUGAGGGCUGUGGCUGACUUGUGUAUCCCACAAAAAAGCCACACAGGCUAGCACAUGGUAGGGGCUGAAAAGUGUGUGUGGAAUGAGGGAACUUAUCCCAUCUCCUGCCUGCAAAGCCCUCUGGGUCAUGUGGAUUUCAUGGCGGCUCGUUUCUAGGGACAUAGCAGCAACUCGAAGCUCUGAGAGAUGGUGAUUGGACUACAUGUGUGUGUGAGUGCGGCCAGGGGCAGCCGGCACCCUCACUCACAGUUCGGGCCACUCAUAAAGUAUGAGAGUCAACAGCCAAACCCUUACAUUUUAAGGACACAGGCAGGAACGCAGAGAUGCGGCGAAGGGUGUGUGCGCAUGUGCGUGUCGUGCUGUGUCUGUCUUGUGUGUGUGACCGCGUGUGUCUGUUUUUUCCUGUGUCUCUGUGUCCACGUGUGUUGUCGCCAACUCUUUGUCAGCAGAAGACAAGGCCGCUGUGUGGGCAGGGAGCGCAGCAGAGACUUGGGGGCCUCACUUUGGAGCAUUAUAGUAUUCUGAUGUCAGCGCUCUGUAUUUCUCUAUUCUUCUUAAAGACGUGACGGCGUGAGCUGUUCCUUGAAGGAGAAACAUGUGGCAGUGGUUCUGGUGCCCCACUCCAGUGCUGUGAGUCCACUCCCGGGAGCACCAGGCAAGUGAGCACGUCCAGCCCCAGCCAUUAUCUGGGAGGUUGCUGGUCAGAUUCUAGCUGUCCUGAGUAUGCCAAGGUCACCACAAGGUGGUUAAAACCCAGACCUCUGACUGGGCACGGUGGCUCACGUCCGUAAUCCCAACACUUUGGGAGGCUGAGGCAGGCAGAUCACGAGGUCAGGAGAUCGAGACCAUCCUGGCUAACAUGGUGAAACCCCGUCUCUACUAAAAAUACAAAAAAUUAUCCGGGCGUGGUGGCGGGUGCCUGUAGUCCUGGCUACUCGGGAGGCUGAGGCAGGAGGAUGGCAUGAACCUGGGAGGCGGAGCGUUUGAUGUAUUUAUGUUCUGCAUGUAUUCCCAUUUGUAGAGUAAGGACAGAGCCAGCUGGAUCUCAAAGACAUCCAGAAUGAGACACCUUCACACCCCUCAUCCCAGCCGCCAUUGGCUCCAGCCUAGGUGCCUGCACCUGCCUCUAGCCUCCUCCCGACUCCCACCCUGGCCUCCCUGCACAAGCAAGCACCCAGAGAUCCAUGGAAACCUACAAGGAUGGAGCAGGACCCUCCUCUGUGUUUCCUUGCUGGUGUCAAAGCCACGGUCUUUGCAGGGAUGUAGAGGCUCUAUCUCCCUAAUCCCCUUGGUCAUUCUGCUUCAGCCACAUGGGCCUCCUGCUGUUUCCCAAGCCUGCCUGCUUCCGGGUCUCUGCACUGGCUGUU